rnacentral:rRNA from 1 species
UUAGUCUUUUAAUUUGAGACUGGAAUGAAAGAGUAAACCGGGAGAAUUUUUUUUCAGUUGAGAAAAUGAAUUUUACUUUUUAGUAAGAAGGCUAAAAUUUAACUUUUAGACAAGAAGACCCUAUAAAACUUUAUAUUUUUAUUUCUUAGUUGAAAGAAGAAGUAUUUCGCUGGGGCGGUGGAGGAAAGCCCUUCCUUUAAAAAAAUAAACUUUCUUGUUUAAAUACCUAGAAAUUCUAAAUUAGAAAUAAGUUACUUUAGGGAUAACAGCUUAAUUUACUUAGAAAGAUCAAAUUGACAAGUAAGUUUAUGACCUCGAUGUUGAAUUAAAAGACCUUUUUUGUGCAAAAGCUAAAAA